rnacentral:rRNA from 1 species
AACGAACGCUGGCGGCAUGCCUAACACAUGCAAGUCGAACGAGACCUUCGGGUCUAGUGGCGCACGGGUGCGUAACGCGUGGGAACCUGCCUUUAGGUUCGGAAUAACUCAGAGAAAUUUGAGCUAAUACCGGAUAAUGUCUUCGGACCAAAGAUUUAUCGCCUUUAGAUGGGCCCGCGUUGGAUUAGCUAGUUGGUGGGGUAAAGCCUACCAAGGCGACGAUCCAUAGCUGGUCUGAGAGGAUGAUCAGCCACACUGGGACUGAGACACGGCCCAGACUCCUACGGGAGGCAGCAGUGGGGAAUAUUGGACAAUGGGCGAAAGCCUGAUCCAGCAAUGCCGCGUGAGUGAUGAAGGCCUUAGGGUUGUAAAGCUCUUUUACCCGAGAUGAUAAUGACAGUAUCGGGAGAAUAAGCUCCGGCUAACUCCGUGCCAGCAGCCGC